rnacentral:rRNA from 1 species
GAUGAACGCUGGCGGCGUGCCUAACACAUGCAAGUCGAACGAAGCGAUUUAACGGAAGUUUUCGGAUGGAAGUUGAAUUGACUGAGUGGCGGACGGGUGAGUAACGCGUGGGUAACCUGCCUUGUACUGGGGGACAACAGUUAGAAAUGACUGCUAAUACCGCAUAAGACCACAGCACCGCAUGGUGCAGGGGCAAAAACUCCGGUGGUAUGAGAUGGACCCGCGUCUGAUUAGGUAGUUGGUGGGGUAACGGCCUACCAAGCCGACGAUCAGUAGCCGACCUGAGAGGGUGACCGGCCACAUUGGGACUGAGACACGGCCCAA